CACGUAGGGUGCGAGCGUUGUCCGGAAUUAUUGGGCGUAAAGAGCUCGUAGGCGGUGUGUCGCGUCGGCCGUGAAAACCUGCAGCUUAACUGUGGGCUUGCGGUCGAUACGGGCAUCACUGGAGUUCGGCAGGGGAGACUGGAAUUCCUGGUGUAGCGGUGAAAUGCGCAGAUAAUCAGGAGGAACACCGGUGGCGAAGGCGGGUCUCUGGGCCGAUACUGACGCUGAGGAGCGAAAGCGUGGGGAGCGAACAGG
rnacentral:rRNA from 1 species